UUACCNGAGUACUAUGAAUACAUAAAAAUUUAAAACUCAAAGAACUUGGCGGUGUUUUAGACCACCCAGGGGAACCUGUCUCGUAAUCGAUAAUCCACGUUGCACCUGACCUCUUUUUGUUUUCAGUUUGUAUACCGUUGUCGUCAGGUAACUUUUUAGAAACUAGAAGUUAGCAAUUAAAAUAUUAGUGAUUUAGUAUGUCAAAUCAAGGUGCAGCUAAUAAAGAGGGGAGGAUGGGUUACAAUUAUAUAAUUUAUAAUGACGGAUAAAUGCAUGGAAUGUGUUGAGUUAUAAGGAGGACUUGGAAGUAAAUUAGAGUAUAUAAACAACUUGAAUUAGGCUCUGAAACGUGU
rnacentral:rRNA from 1 species